rnacentral:rRNA from 1 species
UACGAAGGGGGCUAGCGUUGUUCGGAAUUACUGGGCGUAAAGCGUGCGCAGGCGGCUUCUCAAGUCAGGGGUGAAAGCCCAGAGCUCAACUCUGGAAUUGCCUUUGAGACUGAGUGGCUUGAGUACGAGAGAGGUGAGUGGAAUUCCCAGUGUAGAGGUGAAAUUCGUAGAUAUUCGGCGGAACACCAGUGGCGAAGGCGACUCACUGGCCCGAUACUGACGCUGAGGCGCGAAAGCGUGGGGAGCAAACAGG